UACGUAGGUGGCAAGCGUUGUCCGGAUUUACUGGGCGUAAAGCGCACGUAGGCGGCUUUUCAAGUCAGGGGUGAAAGCCCGGGGCUCAACCCCGGAAUUGCCCUUGAAACUGGAAGGCUAGAAUCACGGAGAGGUGGGUGGAAUUCCGAGUGUAGAGGUGAAAUUCGUAGAUAUUCGGAAGAACACCAGUGGCGAAGGCGGCCCACUGGACGUGUAUUGACGCUGAGGUGCGAAAGCGUGGGGAGCAAACAGG
rnacentral:rRNA from 1 species